rnacentral:rRNA from 1 species
UACGGGGGGGGCAAGCGUUGUUCGGAAUUACUGGGCGUAAAGGGUUCGUAGGUGGCUUGUUAAGUCAGACGUGAAAUCCCUCGGCUCAACCGGGGAACUGCGUCUGAGACUGAUGAGCUCGAGUGCAGGAGAGGAACGCGGAAUUCCAGGUGUAGCGGUGAAAUGCGUAGAUAUCUGGAGGAACACCGGUGGCGAAGGCGGCGUUCUGGACUGCAACUGACACUGAGGAACGAAAGCCAGGGGAGCAAACAGG